rnacentral:rRNA from 1 species
UACGUAGGGUGCGAGCGUUGUCCGGAAUUAUUGGGCGUAAAGGGCUCGUAGGCGGUUUGUCGCGUCGGGAGUGAAAACUCAGGGCUUAACCCUGAGCCUGCUUCCGAUACGGGCAGACUAGAGGUAUGCAGGGGAGAAUGGAAUUCCUGGUGUAGCGGUGAAAUGCGCAGAUAUCAGGAGGAACACCGGUGGCGAAGGCGGUUCUCUGGGCAUUACCUGACGCUGAGGAGCGAAAGUGUGGGGAGCGAACAGGA